AAAAAAAAUUUUUGUAACUAUGUUUUUACACUGAAUGUAUAUUAAUUUGUUGAAAACUCGCAAAAUCCCUAUUACUGUUACAUUUAUCUGAAUGGUUUAAAAUUAUUUAAUAUUUAAGCAAAUUUAAUAACUACCAACAACUUUUAAUAGGCACGGCCAAAUUAUAACCAGGUGUCUAAACACCGAUCUCUGUAUUUUUAGUCUCAGGUUGAUAAUUAUAAUUUAUCUAUAUUGAGCUAAUAAUUUGUAUGUUUAA